rnacentral:lncRNA from 1 species
UUUUGCCAUUGCCACGUAAAUCAGGCACAAUAUUGGCAUACAUUAUCGUGUUUGUGUGUAGGCCGUUAAACAAUGGCCCCUACCUCGGGAAGAAGACUUUAGUCAAGCACUACCUGGAAAAGAAAACACACUACCUUGGAGAGCGGAACUGGCUUACAACCGUAUCCUGAUGCAUCAGUAGAAUGAAUUAGACACGACAGCCCUACAGAGACAAGACAGCCCAACAAGGUAGCCCUAGACUUCCCAUAACUGCCGGCGACGACAAAUUCUGCAGGGAUUGGGGAUCUCCUUUAGGAACUGUGACGGAAAAACUUAAAGCUGAGUACAUUUUUUAUCUUUAUAACUUUUAUACCGGUUACCAGCAGGGUCUCGGUCACAGGCUCAGAAAAUUAACUUGGUUGUCUGUAUACAAUAAAAUGAUUUUUGUUAAGUUUUUUUUAUAUCUGAAUAAAUAGUGUAUUUAAAAUGA